CCUUUGUGAAAUCGGGCCGCCUAACGGUUCGGCGUGCAAAGGAUACUGUUGGCCUUGAGGCCGGGAGAGGUCUGAGGUACUCCUGGGGUAGCGGUGAAAUGCUCUAAUCCUGGGGGGACCACCAGUGGCGAAGGCGUCCGACCAGAACGGACCUGACGGUGAGGGGCGAAGGCUAGGGGCGCGAACGGGAUUAGAUACCCCGGUAGUCCUAGCUGUAAAGCAUGCGGGCCAGGUGUCUAGCACUCCUUGAGGGCGCUAGGUGCCGGAGGGAAGUCGUUAAGCCCGCCGCCUGGGAAGUACGGCCGCAAGGCUGAAACUUAAAGAAAUUGGCGGGGGAGCACCACAAGGGGUGGAACCUGCGGUUCAAUUGGAUUCAACGCCGGAAAACUCACCAGGGGCGACAGUUGAUUGAAGGCCAGGUUGACGACCUUGCUCGACUAGCUGAGAGGUGGUGCAUGGCCAUCGUCAGCUCGUACCGUGAGGCGUCCUGUCAAGUCAGGCAACGAGCGAGAUCCUUGCCCUUAGUUGCCACCAGUGGGAAGCUGGGCACUCUAGGGGGACCGCUGGCGCUAAGCCAGAGGAAGGAGAGGGCGACGGUAGGUCAGUAUGCCCCGAAUCCCCUGGGCUACACGCGGGUUACAAUGCGCAGGACAAUGGGAUGCAACCCCGUAAGGGGAAGCCAAGCCCCUAAACCUGCGCUCGGUUCGGAUCGAGGGCUGUAACUCGCCCUCGUGAAGGGGAAUCCCUAGUAAUCGCGUGC
rnacentral:rRNA from 1 species